GACAGAGGAUGCAAGCGUUGUUCGGAAUAAUUGGGCGUAAAGGAUGAGUAGGUUGUUUAAAAAGUCAUAUAGUUAAAUGUUCGGGCAUAAACCGAAAAGGCUGUUGAUACUUUUAAACUAGAGUGAGAUACAGGAAAAUGGAAUUUCUAGUAGAGAGGUGAAAUUCGUAGACAUUAGAAGGAACGCCGAAGGCGAAAGCAGUUUUCUGGUACUUUUCUGACACUAAAUCAUGAAAGCGUGGGUAGCAAACAGG
rnacentral:rRNA from 1 species